GGGUGCAAGCGUUAAUCGGAAUUACUGGGCGUAAAGCGUGCGCAGGCGGUUAUGUAAGACAGAUGUGAAAUGCCCGGGCUUAACCUGGGAACUGCAUUUGUGACUGCAUGGCUAGAGUGUGUCAGAGGGGGGUAGAAUUCCACGUGUAGCAGUGAAAUGCGUAGAUAUGUGGAGGAAUACCGAUGGCGAAGGCAGCCCCCUGGGAUAACACUGACGCUCAUGCACGAAAGCGUGGGGAGCAA
rnacentral:rRNA from 1 species